GCGAGCAUUGCGAUAACCAGCAACUGCGGCAGCAGAACGUGAGGAAGGUAGGAGUGCACGUGAAACCAGAGCGUUAAAGGGGCGGGGCCUGUGGCAGAAACGGUUGCUGGGAAGGCACUGACCGCAGGUUUCGCGAGAGUGUCCUGUGAGCGUCAUCUGGGUCCUCGAAGAGGCAGCGGCUAGGCCUAAUUGCAACCCGGAGCCAUGCCUUCGGUUAAAAGAAGGGUCAGCAGACUUAAGCUGAAAGAGCUGGAAGUGAAGAAGGUAUGCCAAGUCGUGAAGGAUUCUGAAGGAAAGGAAGGUGUGGAGAAUCGGCCUCUUGUUGUCUUCACGGGUAUCAGGGCAGGCCAGCAUCGCCGGGAAAGGGCAAAAGUGAGACGUGAGCACGCCGCCCGCCGGUACUUUGUGCGCAAGAUGUGGAUUUUCCGGGCCCUUCUGAUACUCUCAGUGUUCAUCUGGUUGUUGAUGCUGUUCACCUCCUUUCAGUUUGGAGAAUAUUAUACAAAGAAGACUAAAAAUAAGUUCUUUGAAGUAGCGAGAGAGAAAGGGUUUUCAGAAUCCAUGUGUCCGAAUGAAGUUAACCUGCAGAACAGCAAAGUCAGUGACCACCCUCUGGAAAAAACAUCCACUUGGGAAGUUCUGUUCAAUUUUUUCCUUCCAACAACUUGCAUGAUAAAGGAGAACCAAAACAUAACACCUUGCAAUGAGCUGCUAAACCUUACUGAGACUGAAUGUUUGAAAUCCAAAUGCUGUUUUUCAACAUCUGUGACCAGGAAUUGCUUUGUCCCAUUAAGAGAUAAGUCUACACAGGUGAUGCGGAUAUUUGGACUUAGUGUAUUCAUCUUGCUUUUCCUGGGAUGGAUGAACCUUUGCUGCAUCUAUAUUUGGCAGAGGAGGAAUGACAGAAUGUUGAAGAAUCUAAAGAAGAAAAAGAAACUGGAGGACAGUACUGAAGUGUUAACAACAACGGAAGAGGAAGAUGUUGAUGAAGAGGAAAAAGAAGCCGAAGGAAACAUCCACAAGAUGGCAGUAGAGGAACAGUCUUUGAAUGAGUUUCUCUGAGGCCUAUCAUAAAGUGACCUUAUUCUGACUUGAAAAGCAGACUAUGAAAUCUAACAAAGGAUUAUUUUUGCAUUGUGAAUACAUUUAUAUGAACAGUAACACAAAGAUAUGAACACAAGAUGUCAUAUGGGUGUAUUAUUCUAUGAAUUGCUUUUAUUGAAAGAAAUACCAUUGUAUUUAAUUUGCUGCAUGAAACUCAAGUGGGUCCAAAAUAUAGAGUGUCUGAGUAUUUUUCUAGUGAAAAUAUCCACAGCUUCUGUCAUAUCUUAAGGGAUCAAUUAUUCUCCAAACCGAGAAGCUUGAGGGGCUUAGGAAAGCAGAGUAGGGUUAAUGCCUUAACCACAUUGGAGUUGCUGGUAGUUUCCUUUUACUAUAUUCUUGAAAGUGUUUGAGAUUGAUGAAGCACCCAGCAGUGAUCAUUUGCUAAAUGGAUAUGAAGUAACACUUCUGCCAUCCCUUCUUUUGCCUUCUCCCAAACACACACACCAAGAUAAAAAUCUAUUUCACAAGAUGCUUGUGGCCUCAAUCAGAUGUUUGCCCGUGUUUAAUUUUUACUCUCCAAAAAUCCUCACUUAUUGGUCAUUGGAGAUGCUGACCAUAUAGGAAAAAUUUCUGUCUAUGAACAUUUGUCAAACGAGUUCAUGUUUAAGGGGAACAUGAGCCAAGCUGGUGAUUAUCGGAAUCUCCCAGUCUCAGGUGAGUGUCUCCUGGGUAUCCCCCCACUCCUGCCCCAGAAAGUUAUUGGUUUGCAUGAGGACUUGGAAAUCCUAGAGACAAGCCACAUAAUGCUCUUUUCUUUUGAUUUGCUAAUAGAGAGCUACCUUUGUUUUCUGUGGACUGAAAGCCACCUGGCAGAGAGCUAUUAAAAGCUUACCUAUUGACUUGAUUGCAAAAGAAGAUCCCUGAAAAAUACCCUGAUCCAGCUAUCUGGGUGUUAUUUUUAUUAUUUAUUUAUUUAUUUAUAUAUUUUUUAGGCUAAGAAUAGGAAAAAUUUAUUGAGAGAAAGAAAGCUUCUAAGAGAGACAGAAGGGGGACCAGAAAGUGGUUGCCCGCCCAUCCCACUUUUUUUUGUUGUUGUUAAAUUCAUUAUUGGUACAUUGUAGGUAUACAACACAAUUACAUUUCUCAUUGGGAAUUGUACCUUUACAUAAUGCAUCUUGGCUCUUAUUUUUUCCCCAUU
rnacentral:lncRNA from 1 species